rnacentral:rRNA from 1 species
CCUACGGGUGGCAGCAGUGAGGAAUAUUGGUCAAUGGGCGGGAGCCUGAACCAGCCAAGUCGCGUGAGGGAAGACGGUCCUAUGGAUUGUAAACCUCUUUAGGCGGGGAGCAAUGCCGGGCACGCGUGCCCGGAGGGAGAGUACCCGCAGAAUAAGCAUCGGCUAACUCCGUGCCAGCAGCCGCGGUAAUACGGAGGAUGCGAGCGUUAUCCGGAUUUAUGGGGUUUAAAGGUUGCGUAGGCGGAUUUUUAAGUCAGCGGUAAAAUGUCCGGGCUCAACCCGGGCGGGCCGUUGAAACUGGGGAUCUUGAGUGGGCGAGAAGUAUGCGGAAUGCGUGGUGUAGCGGUGAAAUGCAUAGAUAUCACGCAGAACUCCGAUUGCGAAGGCAGCAUACCGGCGCCCGACUGACGGUGAGGCACGAAAGCGUGGGGAUCGAACAGGAUUAGAUACCCCAGUAGUC